CUCAUCGUGAAACAAAGAAACAAACACCUUCCUCUCCAUCUCAAAAAAAAAUCUUUGACGAAAAAUCAUACAAACUCAUCAAUCUCAACCGAUUUUCACAUGUUGCUUCAAUUUCUUGAAAUUGACAACCAAACACACGAACCCUUUCCCCCGCGUCAACCCUAUUCCCCAAAUUGAUUUCGAAUUUGAUUACAAGUAAAUGGUAAAAUCGGUGCCGAUGGGUGUGGUACAAGUUCUAAGAUGGGUGUGGCUCAGGAUGCUAACGACAUUGACGAUGGCACCUUGGAGAUAAGAAUGGAAUAUAGAACUGUAUCUAGAGUUGCUAGCCAUUGGUCAUUCUUGAGAAAGUUAAGGGACCCAAAUAUCAAGAGAUUGUCAAUAUUCGUCUAGGAGAUGGAGCUACUAGGCAUGGAUAAGUUUUUGAGGUUGAUGGUGAAAAGGCUGUUGUUCAGGUUAGAGCCUUCAACAUACAUAUCCAUCAUCCAUCCUUGCCUUUUAUCUUUGAGUUAAUUAAGAUUUAUGUGUUUGUUCUUAAUCCAUUUUUAUUUUGAAUUUUCGUGCUUAACUAAUAGUAAACUUUUAGAGCAUAUUGGGUUGGAGAUGGAUCUUCCAUUUAUUAGUAAGCAUUUUUUUUGUUGAAUUUGAUGAGUAUAUGAAAUGGAUUACAUGAACUGAUGUAUUUUUGUGGGUGAAUGUGUCCGUAGUGAUGUCGGUGAAUUUGGUUGAUAUUGUUAUUUUAAUAAUUGAUGAAGAUGUUCAUCCUUUGAUUUGUCUAUGCUUUUUUUAGUUGAUAUCAUCAUUAGCAGAAACAUUUAUUUAAGAAUGGUUUCAUUUACAAUAUUUUCUCUCAUGUUCAAACAUUAUUUAUAAGUGAUGUGUGGACUCCUUUUGUCUCUUACAGAUUUAUAUAUAUGGGCUUUGAAAUUGCUAUGGAACAACAUAGCUGGUAUCAUGUUGGAUUUAUAUUCUUAUCCAUUUUAUCCUUUCUUUUUUCCUUAAUAGUCAAGUGAUGUGAUUUCCAUUAGCUAAGUGUUUCACUUCCUUCUUGAUUCUUUUCCUUAACUUCUCGAUAAUUACUUCAGAUAUUCAUUGUAGUUGCAAGGUAUUUUGUACUGAUUUCUCUCAUUACUAGCCUAUGAUUGUGGUACAAGCAGGAUUUCCUUAUACCGAUAGCAACUCUAUUACUUUCCAAAGUUUAUGGUCUUUGUUUCCGCCUAAUCCUUUUGCUCAAUACCUGAGUAUACUUACAGAUGUAGUUUCAACCCCUGAAGAUAAUGUUCUAAGCUGGAGUAAACUGGGAGAAUGUGCCGAUUAUGUCGUUGAAUGUGUGAUUACAAUUGUAUAUCCCCUUUUAGAUGAUUAUUUUCUUCCAUGGUUCUAUAUUUCCUUUUAUUCCACCCUUUCAUUCAGCCUUACAUGUGCCACUCCAAUAAUUUAAUUGAUGUAUCUUUUUUUAUUGACAGAAGGAUAUAUAUAAAUUGCUUCUGGCCACAUUCUUUCUGUGCUUUGUUCUGGCCCUGUAAUAUGACAAUAUAAUCCCAAAUGCUACGGGGGAUGAGGAAAUCUGUGUUAUAUAUACUUUCUAAAUCCUCAUUAUUGGACGAGAAACAGAGGAUACAAAGUGAAAGGUAACGACUAUUCUUUGAUUGAAGGAGAGUUUAGAGAUGAUGAUAAUGCUAUGUUUCCUUUCCAAAGGGCUCCUUUUGGGAUAAGUAUCCUUACUCCUUGCCAAGUUUUAUAAUAUCAACGGUUUCAUUGGUAGUAGUUAUUGCCUGUCUGUGGAUUCUGGAAACACUUCAAAAACACAAUGAUAACAAUGUGUCUACGAAUGAUGCUGAAGAUUUAGAAAAUGGAAGCAAGAAGGUCGACAAAGAAAAGACAGUCCAAAAGAGUGAAAUCCUCUUCACGAAUUGGCCCUUAAUGUCAUCUAUAAUUGCUUAUUGUGUCUUCCCACUUCAUGAUAUUGCUUAUCA